rnacentral:rRNA from 1 species
UACGAAGGGGGCGAGCGUUGUUCGGAUUUACUGGGCGUAAAGGGCGCGUAGGCGGCUUGAUGUGUCAAAGGUGAAAUCCCUCGGCUCAACUGAGGAACUGCCUUUGAAACUGUCUGGCUUGAGGCCGGGAGAGGGUAGCGGAAUUCCCAGUGUAGCGGUGAAAUGCGUAGAUACUGGGAGGAACACCGGUGGCGAAGGCGGCGACCUGGGUCGACACUGACGCUGAGGCGCGAAAGCGUGGGGAGCAAACAGG